GCUUCCGUAGCUCAGUUGGUUAGAGCUUCGUACUAAUAAACAUUGGUGAUGCGGAGGCCGCAGGUUCAAGCCCUGCCGGGAGCA
rnacentral:tRNA from 1 species